UGGUGACAACCCCCUGGCCCCAGCUGCCAGCGGACCACAGGUCUGGACGCCCACGGUCCUCGCAGCAUCGUCUCCGUUCCCAACUCGGCCGGAGCGGAACCGACUCCGUCGGGGAACCGACGAUCACCUACCGACCUGUGCUCCCUAUAAAGCCACCCGACCCCCGGAUCUCUUCCUCACCGUGGAAUAGAAUCGGUAGGCAUGGUAUAGGGGGGGCUUCCCCUAGUCGCUUGCUCCAUCGUGUCGUGGUGAACUGGUGAACUGCCCGUAUAGCGGGAGCCGAGCCAAGGCGGCAGGGGCGGCCGGAGGCGGGGGCCGAGCCCAGGCGGCAGGGGCGUCCGGCGGCGGGGGCCGAGCCUCUAUACGGGCUCGGCCCCCCCCCCCCCCCCCCCCCCCCCCCUAUACGGGCUCGGCCGGAGGCGGGGGCCGAGCCCAGGCGGCAGGGGUGGGUUUAUCGCUUAUUUCCGCUAAUACGCGGGAUAAGCGGGUACAAACAGGGCCCUAGUCGCUUGCUCCAUCGUGUCGUGGUGAACUGGUGAUGGGUAAGUCGUAGGUGAGCCAGCCGCAGUUAUUUUCGAUCUCAUGUUUGUUUUGUCGAUUGGUUGAUCAGGUGCGCGGGCUAGCCGGAUAGAUUGGGUUGCUUGUACUUUGCGGUGCUCGAUCCGUUCGAUUCCAGGUCUAGGUUGGAUGAUUCCCCUGCUUCCCCCAGGAUCCCUCUGUUUGGGGAAAUAGUUUUGUGUUGAUUUGUGACUAAUUACUAUUUGUUGAUAUCUAAGGUUCUGCAGCUCUUUUAUUUCGAUUUCUGUUCAAGGUCAGAUCGGUUUUAAUUGGGUAGCACGGAAAAUUUGGCUUGGCCGAAACAGGAUAACCUGAAGGGUUUGGUCUGGAUCUGUCUUUGGUUUGCAUGAUGAUUGGUCUGAUCAGGAUAAUUUGUUCGUACGCCUAAUUUUUGUGAUGGAAACUGUACCUGAUACUUGUUAUUGGAAUAUGGAGGCAAGUGGAGUGCUCAGAAUUCUACGGUUUUUGCAUUUGGCAUGUUCCUCUCAUGGUAGUCAGUCUCAUCAGAAGGUUUAGUUAUGAUAAGAUAUGGCUGCGUAGGUGUGUUUGGAAUUUACAAGUAUAUGGUGUCAAUUUGCUGUUUAUUUCGGCAAGCAGUAUUGGUCGGCUUAUUUGGUGCUGGUUGUGAGGUGUAUACAGAUCCAUGCACUGUAUGAAUCAUGGAUUCAUGGUUGCAUAGCGAUGCUUUAUUUGGCUGUUAGAACAAGAUUUUGAUUCAGUACUAUUGACAUACUCAUGAAGGUGGCUUGUUGUUCUAUCAUUAUCAAAUUGUUGUUCUAUCAUUAUCAAAUAGUCAGCUCAAUUGAAAGGUUCAUUUCAAGGAAAUUCAGAAUGUGGGUUUUAUAAUUGCUAUAUCUGUGCAGUGUAGUUUAGUGCUAGCUACAUGUGAAGCCAUCUGCUGGAAGAUUCUUCUAAGUACUAUUCUUGCUUUGAGGGCCAUGGAUGUAUGCUCUAAGUUGUGGUUUUCUUACUGAUGUGCUACUGAUGUGCUACUGAUGCGUGUUUAUCUGGUGGUACCUUAAGGUCUUCUGUCAGAUUAUGGUGUAGUGCUUUGGUCUGAAUCUCCUAGUCCUCUGGUGAUACUUCAGUCACAUUGUUUUGAAUGAAUCUUGGAUUUGCGGACUCUACUAGAUUUCAGCUUCUUAUCAUCUUAUGUUCCUUCAGUUACUGGACCAUGUGCCGGUUUCAGUGCCAGCUUCCUUCUGUUGUAACUUAUGUUUGUAUGUGUACUGUUAACCAAGCAUCUUCUCUAUGUCGGGAGUUGUAUUUGUGUAAUUUCAGUAUAGAAGGAUUUGUUGUAACCACUAUGUAUUAUUAACAUCUGGUUGUUUUGCAUAAUUCUUGGAGCAAUAGAAUUCUAACCUGAACUCUGUUUCAAAAGGUGGUGCUAGGCGGAGCAACGGCGCCUCGCCUAGCACUGUAAUGAACAAACAGCGGAGAUAGUGUAAAAUCCAGAUUUGAAAUACACUGUAGUUGGAAAAAAACAUUAAUUUCCAUUCAUAUUUAGGUCCUUAUUGAGGUCUGUUUAUGGAGUUAUGUAACCAACUUUUAACAAUUCUGAUGCAAUAUGUGUUGUAAUGAAUCAUACCUCAAGAUGUGUAUAGUAUGCAUUGUAAUGAAUCAUACCUCUAGCUGUGCACAGUUAAGAAAUCGUAUCUCUUUUAGUAUUGUAGAAAUAACUGCUUAGUUUUUAAGUAAACAUACAUCUUCUCGUUGCAAUAAAGCACUCUAUUUUAUUGAAUCUUCUUCACUAGUUUGCUUGUGCUGUCUAUCUACGCAUAUUGUGGCCAUAUUAGUUAUUUCUUGGCUGCAGGGGUUUAUUUUAAUUAGUGUCCACCAUUUAAUAAUGAACAACUAAACUGUUAUGUGCAUUAUUUUAAUGUAUUUCAAUCUAUUUUGGGUUUAAUCUUUGUAAGCAUUUAGGUCUGUUAAUUGUAUAUGAAUUUUUUAGCUAUUUUCCUGUUCUGUUGGCGAUAACCUAAUAGUGUGAACAAUUCUUUCCAGAUUGAUCCAUCGUUUUGUUUUGAUUUAGUCGCAAAAUCUUUUAGCUUCUAUUUCCUUUUGUUUCUCUUGGUCUGAAGCUAGUCAGAACUUGAAUCUUUCCUUGAUUAGAGGACUCUAGGAAAGUCUGCUCGUAGUUUUUUUGGUUGUUAUGAGUCUCAGCUGAAAAUGGUUUAUAUUUAUUCAUGUUCCAGUUUGCAAAACCAGUUUGAUUUAGUAAAUUUUCCUAAUCAUCUUGCUCUAUCUUGUUCCCUUUAUUACUAUUUUGAAGGAUUCUCUGAAUGAUUUGCUUAUGCUGGUAUAUGUGACUAUAACUCUAUUCAGUAGCAAUGGUGCCAACGUUUGGGGCAAGUAGGGAUUAGUUAAGUUCCAUGCUUAGUUUUAGACAUCUCUGUAAAAGCGAGUAGUAUGCUAGUCUAAACUCUUUGUUAGCGGUGUUCGCUCUCCAUCAAAGAUACUUGCAAGUUUGUGAAAAACCUUUUAUUUGAGGUUGCCUUGGUGAUCAUGUGAACUAACAAACCUGACUUGUCUCGUUUUGUUCAAAUGGAUGAUUGCUUCAUUUUUAUUAGAUGUUUCAUCAAUUUAGCUGAUUUCAAGCUAGGCAUAUCUGUAGAUAUCUAACUGGAGUUGUGCGCUGAUGUUUUUUCCUAUUAUUUAAUACUAACUUGCCUAUUAUCCUUUCCAGUUUGAACUGUAUUGCUAAGUUGUUUGCUGUCUCAUAUCAUUAUUUUUGGCCCUUUUUCUCGAACACGCGGGAGUGCUGUGCAUCAUUAUAUUAUGAAGAAACAUUAUUUUUGGCCCUUAAAUUCUGUGAUAAGUUUUGGCCCUUAAGUUCUGUGAUAAGAGAUCCUUCAUUUGUGUUACAUCCAAACUGAGUUUCCAACCCUUGGGUUUGGUGUUGUAUGCUACUCUGUAAAACACCUGCUGUUCUUUUUCUUCUUAAGAGUUAAAUUGUUAAUCGUAUUUAUUAUUGUUAUAUGCAGUUGUAAGUUGUGUUCUUUUAUACCACUGUUUAAUGUCAUAUCAUGCUUGGAUUUUUUUAUUGUGCUGUUAGUUGCUUUAUUUCUGUAAUAAACCACGGUCAAUUAGGUUCCUGUUAACUAUAUUUAACAUGUUUUUAGGUGCAUAGGAAGGGUUUAGAUUAGGACAUAUCAGUACUGUUCUAUUGUCUAGUUUUCUAGUCUAGAAGUAUUAUGUGAUUCAGAUCCUUUCUUCAACUUUCUUUGACAAACCCUGUGUGAGGUUUUGUACAAAGUUUUGGUGAACACUGCAGUACAUAUGAUAUUAAUCAUGGAGUUUACUGUUUUGAAGUUGCACAAAUUAUAUUUUUGAGUUCAUAGUUUCCCUAUUUUAGUGUGCAAAUUGCUGGAAUUAAAUUUCAAAGGAAACAAGACAUUGUUUGCAUUCAGCAAUACUAACUGUUUCCAUUCAGCAAUUCUCAGCAACUAAUUGAUCAUUUCAUCUUAAGAUAGCCUAACACAGGAAUUAUUGAAUUCUUUCUUUGCUUCACUAGUAAUGCCGGCCUCCUAACACAAGUUGUUUCUGUUACCUGAUAGUAUCAUUACUGUUGGUCCUUCAAUUUUGUGAGAAAUAAGAAGUGUGUAUCUUGGUUACUCUUUAACUGGUGUGAAAUUUUUCUUCUAAAGUUGUGCAUCCAUACUAAUGACCUUGUCCCUAUAAUAUCCUUCCUUCUGGAUAGACUCAUUUGUGUUGUAUAUUAUGCAGUUCAAAUACUACAUUAUUUGGUAAUGGUGUGCACUUGUCUUUUUAACUGUGAGUUGAAUCCUACCUAGAAGUCCUUGUGUGUGUCCUUCAGUAGACUCCUGUUUCCCGUGCUGUCUACGGAUUAUAAUAAUAUAUGGUAAUGAAUUUCAUUAGGUACUGUCUUUUAUAGUUGUUUGGUGUUGUUUCACUCUAAUUGUCUUUCCAGAUUUCCCCUAUAAAAUGGUUAUCUGUCUAACUGUAGAGUUAUCUUCAGGUGCAAUAACUAUUAAGUAGAUGAUGAUGAGGAGUUAUGUAUGCAUUUUGUUGCAUUGAAAUUGCAGCAUUUUGUUGUGUCUGUGUGUUUGUGCAAAACCUGAUGUAGCUGUUUGAUUCCAAUUUUUCUCUUAUCAUCUUUGCAGCAUUGAAGUGGUAUGAGGUCAGCUAUAGAUUGACGCUUUUAUGGAAGUUGAGUAAUGCAAUGUUGUUGUGUCUUCUGUUAAUGAAAUUGUAAUGUCCUCGUGCCGAAUUGCACUAUGAGUUUACUGAGCUAUUCCAAGUUUCCGUUGGUCGUUGAUUAUCAUCAUUCGCAUGCUGGCUAACGUGAAAUAUGCUCAUUCCAAGUUUGUCUUCCCUGCCAUGGCAUAAUUUUCUCCUUGCCUGUGCUGUUUGUAAUUACUGCUGUUUGAUUAGUGGUUUUAGCUGUGAUGGUUGUAUUUUUAAUACUAGCAGUUUGUAUAGCUCCUUCUAUAUGUGGUUUGUACUAAUAACUAAUCGUGAUGAAUUUUGUUGUGAUUUGAGCACUGUGGAUUGGAUAUUUUUCGUUCCUGUUUAAUUUUCUUGUUUAUGCUUGGGGGUAGGUGUUAGGG
rnacentral:lncRNA from 1 species